rnacentral:tRNA from 1 species
GGGCAUGUAGCGCAGUUGGUAGCGCGCUCGCUUAGCAAACCACAAACCGGAUGACUGCGAGAGGUCCUCGAUUCGAAUUCGGGCUUGUCCA